CGCCUCCGCCUCCGCCCUUUCCUCUUUUUCCCUUCAUUUUCCAAGCAAUUCCCUCCAAACAAACGAAGAAGAAACACCCAACCUUUUCUGUUUCUUCUUUUUUUUCAACUCCAAUCUUCUUAAUUUUCUUCCAUGGUAUCAAAAUUCUCACAAAACCCAUAUUGGAAACCCUAUUUUAAAUUCAAUUUCAUCCCAUCUUUUUUAUAAUCCCCCCCCCAUUAAGUUUAGGUGUUUUUGUUGACUCUAGAUGUUAGAGCCAUGGAAAUAGCCCCUACAAGCACCCCUCCACUAAGCACCACAACACCCAAAUCACCCGACCCAGAGACCGAAACACCAGUUCGGAUCCAACCGGCCAAGCCCAAAUCUUUUACUAACGGUGUUCUCAAGCGCCACCAACCUCACCACCACUACCUCCACCAUGCGCCGCCCAUAGUGGUGACCUACAAGGAAUGCCUCAAGAACCAUGCAGCCACUUUGGGUGGACAUGCUUUAGACGGCUGUGGUGAAUUCAUGCCUUCCCCAUCAGCCACCCCAUCCGACCCAACCUCCCUCAAGUGUGCAGCUUGUGGUUGCCACCGCAACUUCCACCGCCGAGAAUCAGAUGACCCACCACCCACAACAACAGCCACCGCUACUAUAGAAUAUCAGCCUCACCACCGUCACCAUCCACCGCCUCCAGCAAGUCAAGCACCAC
rnacentral:lncRNA from 1 species